GAUGAACGCUGGCGGCGUGCCUAAUACAUGCAAGUCGAACGGGGAGUCGCAAUACUCUUAGUGGCGAACGGGUGAGUAACGCGUUGGUACCUGCCCCGAAGCGGGGGAUAACGGACCGAAAGGUCCGCUAAUACCCCAUGUGCUCGGUAACGAGUAAAGGUGAAAACCACUUUGGGAGGGGCAUGCGUCCCAUCAGCUAGUUGGUAAGGUAACGGCUUACCAAGGCGAUGACGGGUAGGGGACCUGAGAGGGUGGCCCCCCACAAUGGAACUGAAACACGGUCCAUACACCUACGGGUGGCAGCAGUAGGGAAUAUUGGUAAUGGGCGCAAGCCUGAACCAGCAACGCCGCGUGUGCGAGGACGGCCUUCGGGUUGUAAAGCACUUUUGACUGGGACGAGGAAGGACGGUACCGGUCGAAUCAGCCUCGGCUAACUACGUG
rnacentral:rRNA from 1 species